GAUGAACGCUGACAGAAUGCUUAACACAUGCAAGUCGAUGGGGAAGUGGUGCUUGCACCAUGGCAACCAUGGCGGACGGGUGAGUAACGCGUAAGGGACUUACCUGCAGGACUGGGAUAACAGGGGGAAACUCCUGACAAGACCGGAUAAUGUCAUGGAGCUGCAUGGCUUUAUGAUGAAAGGAGACGCCUGCGGAGAGCCUUGCGUCCUAUUAGCUAGUUGGUGAGGUAAUGGCUCACCACGGCGAAGAUAGGUAGCCGGCCUGAGAGGGUGGACGGCCACAAGGGGACUGAGAUGCGGCCGUUACUCCUACGGGAGGCAGCAGUGGAGAAUAUUGGACAAUGGGGGCAACCCUGAUCCAGCAAUUCUGUGUGCACGAAGAAGGUUUUCGGAUUGUAAAGUGCUUUCAGCAGGGAAGAAGUAAGUGACGGUACCUGCAGAAGAAGCGACGGCUAAAUACGUG
rnacentral:rRNA from 1 species